GGAACAGUUACAGUUUCGAAAACCAUGAACUUGUAGCAGACGGUUUGUGUAUCUACACCCUCCGUGCUGUUAUAGGGUUGUAGAUUUACUGUAAAGCACUACUGUGCUUUGUACCAGGAAACACAUAAAUUGAUUAAGGAGUUUCCUAUGGAAUUUGAUCCUAGAGAACACCAACAUACCAGGUACAAUCCUUUGAAGGAUGAGUGGAUUCUUGUGUCUCCUCAUCGAAUGAAGAGACCAUGGAAAGGUCAAGUAGAAAAACCAUCAGAGAAAAAAGUGCAAGCUAAGGAUUUAAAUAAUCCUUUGUGUCCCGGAGCUGUUAGAGGAAAUGGAGAGGUUAACCCUGAUUACAAACAUACUUUUACUUUUAAAAAUGACUUCCCGGCACUUUUAGAGGAUGUUCCUGAUCCAGGUCCAAGCCAACAUCCAUUAUUCAGGUCUGAAGCUGCUUGUGGAGUGUGUGAAGUCAUGUGCUUUCAUCCCAGGUCUGAUGUCACUUUACCACUGAUGACUUUGUAUGAAAUAAAUGAAGUUAUACGCAAAUGGAGUGAAAGAACUUUAGAGCUAGGGAAGAAGUAUAGAUGGGUUCAGAUUUUUGAAAACAAAGGAGAAAUAAUGGGUUGCUCUAAUCCCCAUCCACACUGUCAGAUUUGGGCAAGUUCUUUUCUACCAAAUGAGGCUCGUAUUGAAGAUCGCUCACAAAAAGAUUACUACAGAAAACAUGGAGUCCCAAUGUUAAUUGAUUAUGUGAAUCAGGAACUUGAAAUGCAGGAACGUAGUGUUGUACAUAAUGACCACUGGAUAGCAGUAGUUCCUUACUGGGCAGUGUGGCCUUAUGAAACGAUGCUUUUACCACGACGUCACGUUAAAAGGCUUUACGACCUAAAUGACACAGAAAGGGCUAGCUUGGCAGAUAUUAUGAAAAGACUGCUUACAAAAUAUGAUAACCUGUUUGAAGUUUCAUUUCCUUAUUCUAUGGGUUGGCAUGGAGCCCCAACUGGUGAUAUGGAACACAUUGAAAACUCCCACUGGCAGUUACAUGCCCAUUAUCUUCCUCCGUUACUAAGGUCAGCAACAGUGAAAAAGUUCAUGGUGGGUUACGAGAUGCUAGCUCAAGCUCAACGAGAUUUAACGUCAGAACAGGCAGCGGCAAAAUUACGUGAGCUUCCAGAAGUUCAUUUCAUGGAAUACAACAGUGAUUAUUGUGAAUGUUAACAACCCCAGGCAAUAUCAAAAAGUCCAAAAUCCAUUGAUGGGCAGGAAGUUCUCAUCCCCAAGUACUGGAUAAAACAUAGAAUUCUACAGAACAAUAACAUCAUGAAUGCUGAUGAAAAGAUGAUCUCCACUAGUAUUCAACAGAAAGACGACCACCACUAGUAUUCAACAGAAAGACGACCUCCACUAGUAUUCAACAGAAAGACGACCUCCACUAGUAUUCAACAGAAAGAAGACCUCCACUAGUAUUCAACAGAAAGAUGACUGCCACUAGUAUUCAACAGAAAGAUGACUGCCACUAGUAUUCAACAGAAAGACAACCACCACUAGUAUUCAAUAGAAAGACAACCACCACUAGUAUUCAAUGGAAAGGCAACCACCACUAGUAUUCAAUGGAAAGGCAACCACCACUAGUAUUCAAUGGAAAGACAACCACCACUAGUAUUCAACAGAAAGAUGACAACCACUGCUACUAUUGAACAGAGAGACAACCACCACUUUGUCUCCUUUUCUUUCAACAGGCAGUUGCAGUCAAUUAAAGUUCUCAAACCUUCUAUGUCUACUCUGCCUAAAAUUCCAUUGUAAUUCUUUACUCUUUAUAUUUAAUUAUAAUAUUUACUAUACCUUUUUUAAUCAUUUCUCAGCUAUUUUGUGCUGUACCUGUAAUAAAAAUGGUACCAGUU